rnacentral:rRNA from 1 species
UAACGCGAAGAACCUUACCAGGUCUUGACAUCCUCUGAUAACCCUAGAGAUAGGGCUUUCCCUUCGGGGACAGAGUGACAGGUGGUGCAUGGUUGUCGUCAGCUCGUGUCGUGAGAUGUUGGGUUAAGUCCCGCAACGAGCGCAACCCUUGUCGUUAGUUACCAUCAUUAAGUUGGGCACUCUAGCGAGAUUGCCGGUGACAAACCGGAGGAAGGUGGGGAUGACGUCAAAUCAUCAUGCCCCUUAUGACCUGGGCUACACACGUGCUACAAUGGACGGUACAACGAGCAGCGAAACUGCGAAGUCAAGCGGAUCUCUUAAAGCCGUUCUCAGUUCGGAUUGCAGGCUGCAACUCGCCUGCAUGAAGUCGGAAUCGCUAGUAAUCGUGGAUCAGCAUGCCACGGUGAAUACGUUCCCGGGCCUUGUACACACCG